GUCAACUAUCUCGGCCUAAUGGCCGAGGCUUGAAUAAGCCUCUAGUUGACUAGCCUCAGUCCGUCAUUUGGCGGACUACGUUGGUCGGGAACAUAGGCACCGCGGGAUGCAGAUCCUAGUCC
rnacentral:sRNA from 1 species